GGCGGGGCCCGGAGUUUAUACCGCCGCGCGCGGGCCGCUGGCGGCAGACAAUACGGCUCCCGGCUCCAGCGCUCCGGGCAGACGCCGCCGCCACUGCCGCCGCCACCGCCGCGAGAGAAGAAAUGUAUGAAGCAAGACCCCUCUCCAGGAGCCUCUUCUUGUACACCUUCCUGCAAAACCAUGGCCCCAGCUUCCUGGACGAGCAAGUGGUGGGGGUUCCUGGCGUGACCAAUAUCUUGGAGUUCCACCCCGAGGUCUCCCCCCACAGCAGUGAGGCCCCCCAUCACCUGGCCAUGCAGCUGGCCUCCAUUGCCGAUGAUCUGGAGCUGAGGUUGCUGCUGCCCCAGUUCGCCGAGCCACUCUGGAUGAUCGUGUACAGCUCUUUCUUCCCCUUUAGCCAGAUAGGCCCGAGGGAUGUUCUUCGAAGCUUCAUGAUUGCGUUCACGAACCUCAGGGAGAACCGAAGGCUCAGGAGCAUCUUGUCCCUCAGGGACAGGGUGUCUCCCAGCCUGUGGCCCGAGCUGGCGCUGUCCCUGCUGCUGGUGGUGAUGCUUGCCUGGAGGUGACCAGCUGCUGGCCAGUGUGGGGUGGGGCGGGCCCCUCCCCCUUGACCACCACCCUGGAGGUGGCCGUUUUGGAUUUGUUGUCUUUAACUGGUGAUCUUUUUUUUUUUUUUUUUAAAUAUUUAAACUCCAAGUGCUGGGACACUGAGGUUCAUAUUCAUUUUUUUCUUUUCUUUCUUUUUUUUGUAAGAGAAAUGAAUUCAUUAUACUUCCAGGGUCGUUACUGGUGAACGCACCUGCUCCCCUGGCCCAGCCCGCGCUGUGCCGAGAAGGUGCCUCCUCCUUGUGGGUUGGUCACAGCGGACGUCAGGGGGGGUGCUGGUCACACCCCUGUGUCUGUGAUGCCUGCGGCAAAAAAGAAUCUGCUGGAAUAGAUUUCUGCAG
rnacentral:lncRNA from 1 species